rnacentral:rRNA from 1 species
CUACGGGCCGCUCCAGUGGGGAACCUUAGACAAUGGGCGCAAGCCUGAUCUAGCCAUGCCGCGUGAGUGACGAAGGCCUUAGGGUCGUAAAGCUCUUUCGCUAGGGAAGAUAAUGACUGUACCUAGUAAAGAAACCCCGGCUAACUCCGUGCCAGCAGCCGCGGUAAUACGGAGGGGGUUAGCGUUGUUCGGAAUUACUGGGCGUAAAGCGCGCGUAGGCGGACCAGAAAGUUGGGGGUGAAAUCCCAGGGCUCAACCCUGGAACUGCCUCCAAAACUCCUGGUCUUGAGUUCGAGAGAGGUGAGUGGAAUUCCGAGUGUAGAGGUGAAAUUCGUAGAUAUUCGGAGGAACACCAGUGGCGAAGGCGGCUCACUGGCUCGAUACUGACGCUGAGGUGCGAAAGCGUGGGGAGCAAACAGGAUUAGAUACCCCCGUAGUC